AUGCAAAGGUCAGAGGGCAAGACACACAUUGUAUGCAAACAGGAAAAUAAUUUCUUCUGGGAUCUGCUAAUAUACGGACAAAGGAGAGAAGCAUGUCAUCUGCUGUACAAGCCAAGGCAAACCCAGCUUCGUUCCAUGCAUCAGAGGGUUGAAUCAGAAAGAAAAGGAUUAAAGUUGCUCAAGGAGAGAGAAAAAGAAAGAACAAACUGCCUGAAAUCCAGCACUAUUCAUGUAUGCAGCAUGGAUUGUUUUAAAAUGCUGUUUUUCUUCAAACAUCACUUUCAUAAGGCCAAUUCUAAAUGGAUUGAGAUGACACUAAGAGGUUUGGCAUCAGAUCAGCAGUGUCAGUGACCCCAGUGUUACCUCCUACGCAGUUAGCAGAAAGAAGAACAAGCAAAGAAAGAAACAAAAAACCCAACCAACCAAUCAAACACAAAAAAGCACCCAUCUGUUUUUAGAUGGCAGCCACAUAUGUAGCUAAACCUCCACACUGGAAGGCAGCAGCAGUAGUCAGGAGUGAGAAGGCUCAGGAAGCUCUCAGUAAAGUUUUUUGUGAAAAGUUAAAAUGUGUAACUCCGUGGCAAGGGACAGGAUGGUACACACUGCCAGGAGAAGGGGUAAUGGGUAUAUCAGCCUCCGAGGUUAAUUCAGCUUGAAAUGUUCUUGUGUUCUUGGGUCCCACCAGCCUCACCGUUCAGCACCUCUGCGGCUAUGCCAGGACAGCCACAGGCAGCAAACUAUCUCAGGACAAGGUUGAGGCUGAAGAAUUAAUCUACUUACAAAGGUGCAAGUAGAUGGAUGAAUAAAUGGGGUAAUAGAUUCUUCUUUGAAUUUAUAAGAUUUCAAAAUAAGGAAAGGACCAAAUAUGCCUGGCUUUUGCCACAUUAAAUUUGACAAGACUUCCUCCAGUGCUCCCACUUGGAUAGGACAUGGGGAGAGGUUGCUUCUGGUAGUCAGUGUGUAUAAUGGCUCUCACUCACCAUUUGCUGUGGAAUGGCUCAGGCUGAACUUGCAGGAUGCUGGAGGGGAUGCAGCUGGCCCUGCCAGCCCCACUGCACAGUGUGGAUUCCUCAGAGCAGUGCAAGUAUUGCAGCACAGUUCUGCUGCAGGUGGGAGAACAAGACCUGCAGCCCCGCAAGUUUUAACUUGGCACCGAAGGGCAUGAAGUUGAUGUUUUCUCUGUAGGGUGGCUAUUCAUGC
rnacentral:lncRNA from 1 species